rnacentral:rRNA from 1 species
UACGGGGGGGGCAAGCGUUGUUCGGAAUUACUGGGCGUAAAGGGCGCGUAGGCGGCCAACUAAGUCGGACGUGAAAUCCCUCGGCUUAACCGGGGAACUGCGUCCGAUACUGGAUGGCUUGAGUUUGGGAGAGGGAUGCGGAAUUCCAGGUGUAGUGGUGAAAUGCGUAGAUAUCUGGAGGAACACCGGUGGCGAAGGCGGCAUCCUGGACCAAUACUGACGCUGAGGCGCGAAAGCCAGGGGAGCAAACGGG